UAAGGAAUAUUGGGCAAUGGUCGAAAGACUGACCCAGCCAUGCCGCGUGCAGGAUGAAGGCCCUAUGGGUUGUAAACUGCUUUUAGCCGGGAAUAAACACCCGUUUUAUAACGGGCCCGAAGGUACCGGCUGAAUAAGCAUCGGCUAACUCCGUGCCAGCAGCCGCGGUAAUACGGAGGAUGCAAGCGUUAUCCGGAUUCACUGGGUUUAAAGGGUGCGCAGGCGGACAUUUAAGUCAGGGGUGAAAUCCUACAGCUUAACUGUAGAACUGCCCUUGAUACUGAAUGCCUAGAGUAAAGCUGAAGUGGGCGGAAUGUGUUGUGUAGCGGUGAAAUGCUUAGAUAUAACACAGAACACCAAUCGCGAAGGCAGCUCACUAAACUUUAACUGACGCUCAUGCACGAAAGCGUGGGGAGCAAACA
rnacentral:rRNA from 1 species